AUUGAACGCUGGCGGCAUGCUUUACACAUGCAAGUCGAACGGCAGCACGGGGGCAACCCUGGUGGCGAGUGGCGAACGGGUGAGUAACACAUCGGAACGUGCCCAGUUGUGGGGGAUAACCUAUCGAAAGGUAGGCUAAUACCGCAUGAGCUCGGCAAGAGGAAAGCGGGGGACUCAGCGAUGGGCCUCGCGCGACUGGAGCGGCCGAUGUCCGAUUAGCAGUUGGUGGGGUAAAGGCUUACCAAGGCGACGAUCGGUAGCUGGUCUGAGAGGAUGAUCAGCCACACUGGGACUGAGACACGGCCCAGACUCCUACGGGAGGCAGCAGUGGGGAAUAUUGGACAAUGGGCGCAAGCCUGAUCCAGCGAUGCCGCGUGUGUGAAGAAGGCCUGCGGGUUGUAAAGCACUUUCAGUAGGGAAGAAAGCCGAGUGCUAAUAUCACUCGGUCUUG
rnacentral:rRNA from 1 species